UUUACUGUGUCUCUGCCAUGUUUUGGUAUCAGGAUGAUGCAGGCCUCAUAAAAUGAAUUGGAAGGAUUCUUUCUUUCUCCAUUGUUUAGAAUAGUUUCAGAAGGAAUGGUAACAGUUCCUCUUUGUAGCUCUGGUAGAAUUCAGCCUUGAAUUCAUCUGGUCCUGGACUUUUUUGGUUGGUAGGCUAUUAAUUGCUGCCCUGGCUCAAUUUAUGAACUUGUUAUUGGUCUAUUCAGGGAUUCAACUUCUUCCUGGUUUAGCCUUGGGAGGGUGUAUGUGUCCAGGAAUUUAUCCAUUUCUUCUAGAGUUUUCUAGUUUAUUUGUGUAGAGGUGUUCAUAGAAUUCUCCGAUUAUAGUUUGUAUUUCUGUGGGAUGGGUGGUGCUAUCCCCUUUAUCACUUUUUAUUGCAUCUAUUUGAUUCUUCUCUCUUUUCUUCUUUAUUAGUCUGGCUAGUGGUCUAUGUAUUUUGUUGAUCUUUUAAAAAAAAAACAGCUCCUGGAUUCAUUGAUUUUUUGAAGGGUUUUUCGUAUCUCUAUUUCCUUGAGUUCUGCUCUGAUCUUAGUUAUUUCUUGCCUUCUGCUAGCUUUUGAAUUUGUUUGCUCUUGCUUCUGUAGUUCUUUAUAUUGUGAUGUUAGCGUGUUGAUUUUAUAUCUUUCCUGCUUUCUCUUGUGGGAAUUUGGUGCUAUAAAUCUCCCUCUCCACGCUGCUUUAAAUGUGUCCCAGAGAUUCUGGUAUGUUGUGUCUUUCUUUUCAUUGGUUUCAAGGAACAUCUUUAUUUCUGCCUUCAUUUUGUUAUUUACCCAGUAGUCAUUCAGGACCAGGUUGUUCAGUUUCCAUGUACUUGUGAGGUUUUGAAUGAGUUUCUUAAUCCUGAGUUCUAAUUUGAUUGCACUGUAGUCUGAGAGACAGUUUGCUAUGAUUUCCGUUCUUUAGCAUUGGCUGAGGAGUGUUUUACUUCCAAUUAUGUGGUCAAUUUUAGAAUAAGUGCAAUGUAGUACUGAGAAGAAUGCAUAUUCUGUUGAUUUAGGGUAGAGAGUUCUGUAGAUGUCUAUUAGGUCUGCUUGGUCCAGAGCUGAGUAUGACCUGAAGGACCUUUGAUUUCACAAGGCCCCACAGACAGCUGGAAGAAAUGUUUUUGGAGAAGAUUCUCUGGGGUAUUCUUUUUAUAGUUGAAAGACACUUUUGAAUGCGAUAUGGUUUUUCCACAGUAGCUUGAGGCCUGAAAUUCAAAUUUAACUGGGUGUCCUGUAUUGUUUCUGUCCACGCUAAGUUAGGUGUUUUCUACUGGUCCUAUCAGUUGUUGUCAGUGUGGGUGGGAACACAGCGAAUGGAGCAAAGGAUGGUGUUAUACUUCACUAGGUAAUUGGGUUAUCAACUUUUCUCAGGAAGAGUGAUGUGAG
rnacentral:lncRNA from 1 species